GUUCCGGUAGCAUAGUUGAUAACGCGCCCGAUUUGGGUAUCAGUAGAACGUUUGCCACUGGAGAUGUGGGUUCGAAUCCCUCCCGAGAGCU